CUCAGAGCCACCACUGUCACACUUCCUCCACCUCAGUGCACCCCCGGCAACGGGAAGAGUGAAACUCUCAGCCCUGCAAACUUGUCGCCGCAGCAGGCGCGCGCGAGGCGGCGGUUGCUGCUCAAAUGUGCUCAGAGAGACCUUGUGUGAUCACCAUUCCAAAAGGAACUUUCUACGAGCUAUUUCACCAUGAUGCUACGAGGCAGGUGUUACUAUCCCCAUCUUAAGGAUGAGGACACUGAGGCAGCAGGAGUGAAAUAACCUCUUAAGGCCACUGACUAAUCAAGAAAUCUGAACCUGAUUAUCGCUGCUAGUUACGUGUAUCUUUCUAUAUCUAACUGCAGUCCUUAGAGGGCAGAAACUGGUUAGAGGAUGCCUCUCACAGAUAUUUCAUUGGUACGUUCUAAGUGCUGGUGCUGUACUAUACUUGAGGACACAGAGAUGAACAAGGAGACACGGUACUUUUCCUUAAGAGGAUAUCACACUAGUGGGUGAGACAGACCUUAAACAGAUCACUUCAUCACACCCUUGGCAUUACAAUUGUGGUGGCUUCCAGGUACCUGCCAUUUAAAUGAGGAAAAGUGUGCCAAACCUACAAGGCAGGAACUUCGUCAGUCUGAAAACCUGUGUCCAGACAAGAACUGUGUUCUGAUGUCUGAAAUGAAGGCAUUGGAAGGGCAUACUCUCUCUGAAGGCCUCGGGGAGGAUCCUUCCUUGCCACUUCAAGCUUUUGGUGACUGCUGGCAAUCCUAGGCAUUCCUUGUUUUGUGGCUUCAUAACUCCAAACUCUAUUUCCAUCUUCAUGUGGCUGCCUUUCCUGUGUCUGUGUCUAAAUUUGCCUAGUUUUAGAAGAACAUCAGUCAUAAAGUUACUGCUGGAGAUGUAUAUGAUUUUCAGAAGAUAACCCUGAAGAUUAUAGUUUCAUUGACCUCUAGGACAUUAACCAGUCAGAGGAAAGCAUGUACACAGUCCCCUACCAACAGAAAUUGUGCAGCCGAGUUCCCCGUGCUUGGGGAAAUCAAGGGCUCAGGAUGACCUGAGUGAAAGGACGAGCUUCACCCUGAGAGUACCACCUUCGUGAUCAUGCUAUCUCCCCCACCAGUUAUGGCAUCUAGAAGAGUCCCUUGUGACCAUUUAACUUAAGAAGAAAAAAAAGAAGCAGCAGCAGCCUGGUUCCCAGAAGGUUCUGCAUGACAUACAUGAUGGUACUGGCCAGAAGUGGACUGUUACAAUGUUAUACACACUCAGUUGGUUGCAGGAGGUCUGGAUAAGAAGUAUAUCGAUGGACCCCUAAGCAAAUAUUUCUGUGUCCAUGUGAAUGCAAAGCAAAAUACACCUGCCAAAAGGAAGCUUUCAAAAACCUAGAUGGAUAUAGAAUUGCAAGGGACCCAGAAUAGCCAAAACCAUCUUGAAAAAGAACAAAGUAGGAGAGCUCACACUUUCCAAUUUCAAAACUUGCUACAAAGCAACAGUAAUCAAGACAGGGUGGGGGGGCACCUGGGUGGCUCGGUCAGUUAAGUGCCUGCCUUCAGCUUAGGUCAUGAUCCUGGGGUCCUGGGAUGGAGCCGGGCAUCGGGCUCCCGGCUUAACGGGAAGUCUCUCCCUCUCCCUCUGCCACUUUACCCCACUCUUUCUCUCUCUCUCAAAUGAAUAGAUAAAAUCCUAAACAAAACAAAACAGACAGUGUGGUACUGGCAUGAGGAAAGACAUAGAUCAUUGGAAUCAAACUGAAAAUUUAGAAGUAAACCCACAGGUCUAUGAUCAACUUGUUUUCACCAAGAGCACCAAGAUCAUUCAAGGGUAAAAGAAUAGCCUUUUCAACAAAUGACACUGGACAACUGGAUAGCCAUUUAUGAAAGAAUGAAGGUGGACACUUACCUCACACCAUACACAAAAAUAAACUCAAAAUGGAUCAAAUACCUAAAUGUAAGAGCUAAAACUAUAAAAUUCUUUUUAAGAAAACUUGAGAUAAACCUCCAUAGCCUUAUAUUUGGCAAAAGAUUUUUAGAUAUUACCAAAAGCAUGAGCAACAGGGAAAAAAUAGAUUGGACUUCAUCAAAAUUAAAAACUUUUGUGCUUCAAAUCACUUCAUCAAGAAAGUGAAAAGAUAAACCACAGAAUGGGAGAAAAUAUUUGAAAAUCAUAUAACUGACUAAGGUCUGGUAUCCAUAAUAUAUCAAGAACUCUUACAACUUAAUAGUAAAAAGACAAACAAUCCAACUUAAAAAUGGGUGAAUGAUCUAAAUAGAUAAUUCUCCAAGAGAGAUAUACAAAUGGCCAAUAAACGUAUGAAAAGAUACUCAACACUAUUAAUCCUCAGGGAAAUGCAAAUCAAAAACCACAUGAGGAAGGCACCUAAGUGGCUCAGUCGGCUAAGUGUCUG